UCUCCCAGAUGCACUAGAGGACAGAGGAUCUAAGGGGUGAUGGAGGAACUAAAGGGAAUCAACAUUAGCCAGGAAAUGGUAUUAGGUAAACUGUUGGGACUGAAGGCAGAUAAAUCCCCAGGGCCUGAUGGUAUGCAUCCCGGAGUACUCAAGGAGGUGGCCAUAGAAAUCGUG